CCUACGGAGGGCAGCAGUGGGGAAUCUUCCGCAAUGGACGAAAGUCUGACGGAGCAACGCCGCGUGAGUGAUGACGGCCUUCGGGUUGUAAAGCUCUGUUAAUCGGGACGAAAGGCCUUCUUGCGAAUAGUGAGAAGGAUUGACGGUACCGGAAUAGAAAGCCACGGCUAACUACGUGCCAGCAGCCGCGGUAAUACGUAGGUGGCAAGCGUUGUCCGGAAUUAUUGGGCGUAAAGCGCGCGCAGGCGGAUAGGUCAGUCUGUCUUAAAAGUUCGGGGCUUAACCCCGUGAUGGGAUGGAAACUGCCAAUCUAGAGUAUCGGAGAGGAAAGUGGAAUUCCUAGUGUAGCGGUGAAAUGCGUAGAUAUUAGGAAGAACACCAGUGGCGAAGGCGACUUUCUGGACGAAAACUGACGCUGAGGCGCGAAAGCCAGGGGAGCGAACGGGAUUAGAUACCCCAGUAGUC
rnacentral:rRNA from 1 species